AAAGAGUCCAGGAUACGCCGAGCGACUAUAAAACACCGAAACCUUCCACGGACUCGAAACUUGGAUGGCAAUCAGGUUUGAAGAAAAUCGAUACGGACGAUUUAUUACGGUGUAAAUCCUGAAUUAUUCAAAAGAUGCCGGAAUCCCUUUCCUGUGGGAAUUUUAUCUGCAGCGUCCAGUUUUCCGAUUUAUCCGGUCGGAUCACCUGAAAUCUCUGAUCCGACGUGUACGUGAAGAUGCCAACAGUGAGGAUGUGUAGAUCCCUCUUACGUAUCCAAGAAACCUGCGAACAUGGUCAUAGAAGAAAAAUAAAUCAAAUUCGACAAGUCGAACGUAGAAUAAAAAUUUCCCAAAAAAAAAUUUUUUCAUCCAUACAUCUUCUCGUUUACAUAUUCGAAAUCUGCUUUUUUCCCAUUUUUAUUAAAUUCAAGACCCUCGUCAUAUAUUCCCAUUCGAGUGCCAUUGACCUUCCUAAUAUUAGAAUCAAAUUUUGAUAAAAUAUUUUUUUUUUAAAUUGAUAACGAUUUAAUUGCCACUGCAUUGAGCCUAUCGAUAAAUUGAUUUAACGCAAAAUUAAUGAAAAACGAGAAGUAAGCAUAUCCCGACCAAUAUCCCAAAAUAAAUUACUUGCUUCCCCCUAAAGCAAACCAGUAGCCUCUGAAAUCGAUAAUACCAAGGUUUGUACCAAUAGCCACAGCAAGAUGAGCUUGACGCGCUUCAAACGCAAGAACGAGAUACAAUCCUUCGCUUUAAGAAAAAUUGCUUAAUUAUUUUCCACAUAGAUAUAUCGCAUAAUCGAUAAUCCUUACUUUUGUUUGAGAAUCCAGAAGACGCGAAAGACCAAAAUUAUUCAAAUUUCCAUACCGAUACCUUCUCUUCAAUAAAGUUCUUCUAUCCAAUAAAGUGGAUUUCAAAAAAAAAAAAAAAAAAUUCAUGACGUACUCACACGCGUACUGUAAGUUUCAUAAAUGAAAAAUGCAUCUAGAAUCUGGAUAAGAUAUUCCUCCGAAUAUACUCUACAUUUUUUUUUUUUGCAAACUAAGGCCAUUAUAGAAAUUAAUAUGACCCGAAACGAGACAAUACAAAAAUAUAGAUCGAAAGAGGAUUUAAGAAACGGGAUCCCGCGAUAGAAAAAAAAAAAAAAUUAGGUUGCAUGAAAUAAUUAAUACGAAUAACACCUAUGGAUCUGAAUUCCAAUUAUAAAUAAAAUUCGGCUCGUCAACUGUAA